rnacentral:lncRNA from 1 species
CCCCAAAUUUGGGUUUGGGGAGUGUCAAAGGUCAAUGGGCAGUGUCCAAAGGGGUCAAAGGUCAAGUGGGCAGUGCCAGGAGGGUGCUGGAAGGGUCAGGGAUGGUCAGUGGUCACUCAGGGCAGUGUCCAGAGGGGUCAGGGGUCAUUGGUCACUGUCAGGGAUGGUCAAUGGUCACUGUCAGGGAUGGUCAAGGAUGGUCAGUGGUCACUCAGGGCAGUGUCUGGAGGGGUCAGGGGUCAUUGGUCACUGUCAGGGAUGGUCAGUGGUCACUCAGGGCAGUGUCCAGAAGGGUCAGGGGUCAUUGGUCACUGUGAGGGAUGGUCAGUGGUCACUCAGGGCCGUGUCCAGAGGGGUCAGGGGUCAAUGGUCACUGUGAGGGAUGGUCAAGGAUGGUCAGAGAUGGUCAGGGUGGGUCAGUGGUCACUCAGGGGUCACUGUCAGUGAUGGUCAGUGAUCAAUGGUCACUCUCAGGGAUGGUCAUUGGUCACUGAGGGAUCACUGUCAGUGAUGGUCAGUGGUCAAUGGUCACUACCAAGGAUGGUCACUGAGGGGUCACUAUCGGGGAUGGUCAGUGAUGGUCAGCAAUGGUCAGGGUGGGUCAAUGGUCACUCAGGGCAGUGUCCAGAGGGGUCAGUGAUCAAUGGUCACUAUCAGGGAUGGUCAGGGAUGGUCAGCGAUGGUCAGUGAUGGUCAGGGAUGGUCAGUGGUCUCUCAGGGGUCACUGUCAGUGAUGGUCAGUGGUCAAUGGUCACUACCAAGGAUGGUCAUUGGUCACUGAGGGGUCACUAUCGGGGAUGGUCAAGGAUGGUCAGUGAUGAUCAGCGAUGAUCAGUGAUGGUCAGUGAUAAUCAGUGAAUGGUCAGUGAUGGUCAGGAUGGGGAUGGUCACUCAGGGGUCACUCAGGGCAGUGUCCGGAGGGG